rnacentral:rRNA from 1 species
UACGUAGGGGGCAAGCGUUGUCCGGAAUUAUUGGGCGUAAAGAGCGCGUAGGCGGUCCGGUAAGUCAGCUGUGAAAGUCAAGGGCUCAACCCUUGAAAGCCGGCUGAUACUGCCGGACUAGAGUCCGGAAGAGGCGAGUGGAAUUCCCGGUGUAGCGGUGAAAUGCGCAGAUAUCGGGAGGAACAUCAGUGGCGAAAGCGGCUUCCUGGACCAGUACCGACGUUCAGGCACGAAAGCGUGGGGAGCAAACAGG